rnacentral:rRNA from 1 species
AGAGUUUGAUCCUGGCUCAGAAUCAACGCUGGCGGCGUGCCUAACACAUGCAAGUCGCACGAGAAAGGGACUUCGGUCCUGAGUACAGUGGCGCACGGGUGAGUAACACGUGAAUUAUCUACCUUCGAGUGGGGAAUAACUGGGAGAAAUCUCAGCUAAUACCGCAUAAUACCUACGGGUCAAAGCAGCAAUGCGCUUGAAGAGGAGUUCGCGGCAGAUUAGUUAGUUGGCGGGGUAAUGGCCCACCAAGACGAUGAUCUGUAUCCGGCCUGAGAGGGCGCACGGACACACUGGAACUGAAACACGGUCCAGACUCCUACGGGAGGCAGCAGUGGGGAAUUUUGCGCAAUGGGGGAAACCCUGACGCAGCAACGCCGCGUGGAGGAUGAAAUCCCUUGGGAUGUAAACUCCUUUCGAUUGGGAAGAUUAUGACGGUACCAAUAGAAGAAGCCCCGGCUAACUUCGUGCCAGCAGCCGCGGUAAUACGAGGGGGGCAAGCGUUGUUCGGAAUUAUUGGGCGUAAAGGGCGCGUAGGCGGUUUGACAAGUCUGAUGUGAAAUCUAUGGGCUCAACCCAUAGUCUGCAUUAGAAACUGUCGGGCUUGAGUAUGGGAGAGGUGAGUGGAAUUUCCGGUGUAGCGGUGAAAUGCGUAGAUAUCGGAAGGAACACCUGUGGCGAAAGCGGCUCACUGGACCAUAACUGACGCUGAGGCGCGAAAGCUAGGGGAGCAAACAGGAUUAGAUACCCUGGUAGUCC